GACCUCUUUGAGCUGUGAGGUCAGAACUGUGGGGUUAGUGCCAUCCUAUGACCGAAGCAAGCAUAGGGCUGAGAACAGCCUUGACUACUGAAUUUGCUCUGCUCCCCAAACAUAUCACCUUCUACCUUUGGCUUUCCUGGCAUUUAGAGCACACAUGAAGCCAGACAACAAGUAGCAGACAGAUAAAAACAGUGCCAUUUUUGGUUAGCGGUUACCACAAAGGAUGGCAGAUGACAGAGAAGAGGCACUCCUAAACUAGGGAAGAUGCUGGGAGCACACAUCUCUAAGCUCCAGGACAAGGAACCCUAUGCUGCCGGCUGCUCUGGGAACGCUCUGUUACAACACAAUGGAGAGCUGACUUGGUAAACCUCACCUGCAGGAGGCAGGAAGACACCCGGGAACUGGCCCAACCCUCCCAAAACACAGAUAGGGGCAGCCUUGAGAACGAACCAAGAUCACUUAGUAGUGAAGGUGGGACAGGAGCCAGAGCGCUCAUCAUGUUCAUGCAGUCGCCCAUCACAGAGGAGAAAGUCUUCAAAGCUACAAAGGCUGGGGGAUGGCUCUGUACAUAAAGUGCUUGCCGUGUUCUGCUUCAUCUCUGCAACUCACACAAUGGAGGAAGGACAGAACCCACUCCACAAAGCUGUCCUCUGACCUUCAUACCUGUGCUGGGGUAUGUGCAUACACUCAUGCACAUUCACACACAGGCACACAUGUAUACGCACAUGUGCACCCCUGCACACACAUGUGUACGUACGCAUGCACACAGGUGCAAACACAAAUACAAACACGCAACACAUAGAUGCUCACGCAUGAGCAUGUGCACACAUGUACUCAUGCACACACAAACACGCACACAUGUACAAGACACACAUGUUUAAGACACACAAACGGGUGCAUACACACGUACAUGCACAAACAUGCACACACAUACCCAAACAUGCACACACAUGCACACACAGUUCUCCUGCUCACCCACUCAAGUUUAAGAGCAUGUUUUCACUGUCCCAGUUUCCCCCAUGUGCUCUCCAGUCACCGUAGCACAGUUCUCCUUCCACCCGAGUGGGGGCAGCGUAGGGACCUGAAAACACAAC
ensembl:lncRNA